rnacentral:antisense_RNA from 1 species
AAUGAAAAAGCGUAAACGCGCUUUUUCAUUACCAAUCGAAGCAAGCUGAUUGACUUUACAAUUUGAAAAUGGUAUUGGGAAUAAAUAGAAUUGGUGCGUCCGAGUGGACUCGAACCACCGACCCCCACCA